UACGAAGGGUGCAACCGUUGCUCGGAAUUAUUGGGCGUAAAGCGCACGUAGGCGGCUUAGCAAGUUGGAUGUGAAAUCCCUCGGCUCAACCAAGGAAGUGCAUCCAAAACUGCUGAGCUUGAGUACUUAAGAGGAUCGCGGAAUUCCCGGUGUAGAGGUGAAAUUCGUAGAUAUCGGGAGGAACACCAGUGGCGAAGGCGGCGAUCUGGGAAGAUACUGACGCUGAGGUGCGAAAGCGUGGGGAGCGAACAGG
rnacentral:rRNA from 1 species